UUGCAGUGUUGCCACAUAAUAUAAGUUCAACCAAGUGCAUGUGGUUUUCUUUUCUGAAACAUAUGUAAUGCAAUCGCAAAUGAUAUCUCAUGUAAAAAAGCAGUGAAUAUGCCAUACAUAUACAUAAUCAACACAAUCAUGUUCUUCAAGAAUACAUACACAAUAAAGAUUUGAACAUGUAACACAUAUCAAUACAUGUGUUAUUAACAAUGUGCUGUCAUAAUCAAAAACCAAAAACAUUGUGAGAUUAAGGUUUAGCUAAACCAGUGCUUCCCUUAUCAACAAUCUCAACAAUCUCCCCCUUUUCUGAUGAUGCACAACCAUGAUUAAUAAACAACCAUGUUUGUACAUAACAACUUAUAAAAUCAAUCAUAUAAUCAGAAAAUAUCAGGGGUCAUAAAAGCAAACUGUAUCAGAGCAAGUGAUUAAUGAUUUUAUCAAUAUAUCAAAGCAUAAAAAAGAGUAUAUAUCAAACAACAUAUUUACUCUGUAUCAAAAUUAAGCAAUCAAGUAUCAAGCAAAUAAACAAUCAAACUUUCUCCUCCUUUGAUACGCGGGGCCCAAGCCCACCAAAUAAAGGAUAACCAAAGAACAUGGAGAGGGGUAAAAUGGUCAAUUCUACAUAAAGAGGGGUGUGCCUAUCAUAAAAGGGGGUGGCAUUAGUGUUUACUUUUCCAUAGGCACAUAGCAUAUUUUACAUGUGUUUAAUAAAGCUUUCUAGAAGCCACACACAUUUAGCACAUGGUUAAUUAGUGGGAAUGAGAUCUGAAACGUGUGGAUUGAUAUUUCCCAUGCAUGGCCUUGAGAUUGAUCUAUAAAAUCUCAUUGGCAAAGCUUGUAACACACUUUGGAAAUAUAUGAGAAAUCCUUUUUCUUAUGCUGUUGAUCUUUGUCCAGCACGGGAAACUCUCUACCAAAGUCACCUUCAUUGCCUUUCCACUCUUCCAUCUAGCUUUCUUCCUCUAGAAGACCGUCAGAGCUAGUACCACUCACCAUAGGCUAACCUCCGUCCACUAUCCUUCACCGAUUCAAGCUCAUUCCAUCAUUGUUUCACGCUGCUGCAUCCAAUUCACGUUUCUGUCCAUCGCUGUUCCGCAUACUCUGAUUCCACCAUCAACC
rnacentral:lncRNA from 1 species